rnacentral:rRNA from 1 species
UGCACAUACGGGAGGCAGCAGUGGGGAAUAUUGGGCAAUGGGCGCAAGCCUGACCCAGCAACGCCGCGUGAAGGAAGAAGGCUUUCGGGUUGUAAACUUCUUUUGUCAGGGACGAAGCAAGUGACGGUACCUGACGAAUAAGCCACGGCUAACUACGUGCCAGCAGCCGCGGUAAUACGUAGGUGGCAAGCGUUAUCCGGAUUUAUUGGGUGUAAAGGGCGUGUAGGCGGGAAUGCAAGUCAGGUGUGAAAAGUAUGGGGUCAACCCAGAGCCU